rnacentral:rRNA from 1 species
GAUGAACGCUGGCGGCGUGCCUAAUACAUGCAAGUCGAGCGAACGGACGAGAAGCUUGCUCCUCUGAUGUUAGCGGCGGACGGGUGAGUAACACGUGGAUAACCUACCUAUAAGACUGGGAUAACUUCGGGAAACCGGAGCUAAUACCGGAUAAUAUUUUGAACCGCAUGGUUCAAAAGUGAAAGACGGUCUUGCUGUCACUUAUAGAUGGAUCUGCGCUGCAUUAGCUAGUUGGUAAGGUAACGGCUUACCAAGGCAACGAUGCAUAGCCGACCUGAGAGGGUGAUCGGCCACACUGGAACUGAGACACGGUCCAGACUCCUACGGGAGGCAGCAGUAGGGAAUCUUCCGCAAUGGGCGAAAGCCUGACGGAGCAACGCCGCGUGAGUGAUGAAGGUCUUCGGAUCGUAAAACUCUGUUAUUAGGGAAGAACAUAUGUGUAAGUAACUGUGCACGUCUUGACGGUACCUAAUCAGAAAGCCACGGCUAACUACGUG